CUUACGUAUAUCAAAUAAACAUUGAAAACCCUCUUAAAAUUACUCAAAUAUAUGUCUAUACAAAGUUUAAAAAAAGUCUCUGUCUCUAAACAUAUGAACACAAAUUUCAGCAUCCCUAGUUUUUGCAAUUUCCUAUACUGACUAAAGCAAGGAGUAAAACUGGGUAUUCCAUCGAUCAUUUUGCAGUUCACUUAUAUAGCAGCCCAUGAAAUGGAAGCCUAACUGAGUAGGCAAGCAAACAAACAAUUUUCUAGAAAAAAAGACGGUUAGUUUUUCAAAAAUUGUUGCCACAGCAGGCUUUGAGAUUCAAUUUUUGAGCCACGAAGCCCCUUGCUCACAGCCAAAACUCUAAAUUCUCAUAAUCGUCUCGGCUAUUGAAGAGUAAACAUCUUUCAGCACAAAAAAAAAAAAAAAAAACCUUCACAAACUUUUUUGAUAACCUGCUUCCGUAAACAGGCUAUACACGAAAAUGUGUAAUCCUUGCUUGCGUUCAAUGCCUGGCACCUGUUGCGGCCCAACAGGUGGGCUGGGCCCAUGCGGCUUCUGCGGGCCCUACAAUGGACAGUGGUUUAGGGCAGUCAACCACUGCUGCGGUCCAAUAGGGCCAUAUGGAUGUUGCUCCUGCUAUGGACCCUUUGGUGGCCACUGCUAGCCUGGUUAGAAGGAAAGUAGGUUUCAAAAACUGGUCGAGGCAGAGGACGUAUAUCGCAAUAAUUCCACGCUGACUGACACUGCUUUCACUUGUGACCCGUUACUCGCAAACCAUUAACGGAUUAUCUAUUACAACAUGCAAAAUGUUCGUCCAAAUAAAUUUUACGUCAGUUUUAAAUGGAGAAAAACAAAUAUAAAGCUGUUAUUUCUUAA